rnacentral:tRNA from 1 species
GGAGGGGUCGCAUAGUGGCCUAGUGCGCCGCCUUGGAAAGGCGGUAUACUCAGCAAUGGGUAUCGUGGGUUCAAAUCCCACCCCUUCCG